ensembl:lncRNA
ACAGUCGCCUAGAGGGGUUGGUUAAAACACAGAUGCCAACCCUUCCGAAGUUUCUGAUUCAUUAAGGCUGGGAUGGGGUCCAAGAAUUUGCAUUUCUUUCUAACAAUUUGCCAGGAGAUCCUGCUAAUCCAGAGAACCAUUGCAUAGACCAAAAAGCUGGCUACUGACCCAUCUUCUACCACCCAUGUGAUCCUACUUAGAAGGUAUCACUUGAGCUAUUAACCUUGGCUGCCCCAGCCCUGGCAGAGUUGUGGAAAUAUUCUUCUACUGAUCUAGGCUCCAAUUUAAUCUAGUGGGAUCAUUUUCUCACUCACUAUGGGAGUGUCUGAAACUUGAUCCUGUUUUAGUUGAACUAUUCAUGAAGCUUCUGAGUUCAGUGUGGGAGCAGGGAAGGGAAAGACCUAUCAACCACUCUCCUUUUGUAAGAGGGGGUUGAUGAAAAGAGGAGAGGCUGCCAAGAGAUGUGCUUGAGUAGGAGGUGACUGCCCUGCCAACCGCCAGCCUUGGAUAUCACGCUCUCAAAAGGAAUAUGACAAAUCUGAAGAUAUACCUGAGGAGGUAGCUACAGCUGAACCAGUAUAAAGAGGUGUGUGCUCCCAUGGAUGAUUCAAGCCUGCCCAGCAGCGUUGAUGUAGACAAAGGCUUUGCCAUUGCCUUUGUUGUUCUUCUGUUUCUGUUCCUAAUAGUGAUGAUUUUUCGGUGUGCCAAGUUGGUGAAGAAUCCCUACGAGGCCAGCUCCACAACCACAGAACCAUCUCUGAGCUGAACUAUGAAAAAGCCUGGUGGACGCCCCCUCACAGGAGAUUUGAAAUCUUUUAUACAGACGUUUAUGAUUCAGACUUUAUAUUAUUUUACCUCCCUGUUUUUCAGCUUUCUCGCGCUUGCAUUCCACAAUAGGCACGUGAGGAUGUAAUUAAGUUACAAAUCUCAAGAUAACCUCAUCCUGGAUUAUCCAAGUGAGCCCUAAAUCCAAUGACAAAGUGUCUUUACAAAAGACAGAAGAGGAGAAGACACAGGGAGACAGGGAAAAGGCCACGUGGAGAUGGAGGCAGAGAUUGGAGUCAUGUGACCAUAAGCUAAAGAACACUUGCCUGGAACCACCAGAAGCUGGAAGAGGCAAGGAAGAAUUCUCCCCAGAGUCUUUGGAGGGAGUACAGCCCUGCCAACACCUUCAUUUUGGACUUCUAACCUCCAGAACUGUGAGAGAAUCAAUUUCUGUUGUUUUAAGCCACCUAAUUUGUGGUAAUUUUGUAUGGCAGUCAUGAGAAACUAAUACAUAACACACGAUGAUGAUGAUGAUGAUGAUGAUGAUGAUGAUGAUGCUCAUCAUCAUCUCAAGGACCUUUUAAGAGGAAAGAAGGAAAUCAUACUCCCUACUCUCCAAAGUCUGAACUUAGGGAAAUUUGGUAGAGUGGACUAUGGCCAACUGGCAGGAAAGUCCAUAAGAGAAUUCACUAGAAGGAAAGGGGGCACCUAGGCCACUGACCAAGGCUCAACACAAGUUUGGCUGAAGAGUACUGGCUCUGGCACAGUGAUAGAGAUUAAAGCUCUCAGGUCCAGCCAUGUUGGCAAAAUGUUCUAGGCAACGCUGACCUAGCAUGUGAUUGUGAACUAAGAGGGCCAUAACCUUGGAAUCUAAGUGUGGGGCAUCACUUGGGCUUGUGCAGGGACUUGGACCAGCAUGCAGUUACUUCAGAGGAGACAUGUAUCCAUGGGACCAUGCUGGACCAGCCUUCAGCAGCAAUACCAAAUGGUAUGGAGACAUAACUCCAGCCAUGCACUGGUAGCAAAGACUUGAUAAAUGUCUCUUUUCCUGAUUCCUGGGAGAAGGACUGCUCCCCUCCUUGGCCUGAGUACGUCCUCAGGAUUAUUUGAAAAUAGAGACCAGAGAAAAAAGCCAAUGGAGAUACCAUACUUUGCUUUCGUCAGAACAGAGGGUGCUGUAUGGGUUAAACUGGAGACAGAAAAAGAGAGAGAGAGUUGAUUUGAUGAAAAGAAAUUCAGCGCAAGGUGCAGGGCAGGGUAAAAUGAAAGCAGAUUAAGACUGAUGUCAGUACUUGAGGGCCAUAGUGUGCUCCCUCCAGGAAUUCAGAAGUUAACCUUUCCCCUACCCCUCAAAACAAAAUGCAAGACAAACACCUGAUUAAUGAGAGCAUAAUAUGCAGUCACUAGAGAGUCACAGGUUUGACUGUUACCUGACUUUCUCCAGUAACCUAUCUAAGAAAAAAUGCAUCUGUCAGAAGAAGUGGAUCAUCUAUGGAAGCAGAGAAAGAGGAGCAACCCAAGGCAAACUCACCCAGGACAAAUAUGAAUGCUGUUCAGAAGAGAAGAGCAACUUAACCAUUGGACAGUAGAGUUUUUGAGUCCCCGUGGCCAGCUAGUCCCUGGCAGGGAGAUUCAGGGAGUUGCAGCCCACAGACCUUGGGUCUGUCUGGCUUUAUUGCCCACAUUAUCUCUGUUAAUCUGAUGUCCUUAAAUGUUCCUUUCACACACCUUAAACUAGCAGUUUACAGAUCCAGUUAGUCUACAGAUAAGUUUUAUUUGGCCAGAAUAUUGUUGUGUUCCAUAUUUGUUUUUUGAGUCAACAUUUUAAAAUUAUCAUUAUAAAAGUAAUAAAUGCAAAUUUUUUUCAAACAUUACCUAAGGGAAAAAAAAUGCCAGAAGUUCCUAGACACUGCCUUGUUUCCCACUGCUUCUUUCCAGAGGUAAGGGCUGUUCAGGUAGUCUGGUUUUGCAAAUAUCUGUCUCUUUCCAGACAUGUUCCUUUUCUUUUUAUUUUUAAUGUAAUAUUUUUUAAUAAACUAUCCAUUUUCAUGUUUCAAAAUUCAAAAGGUAUAAUAUAGUGAACUAUGAAAAUCCUUUCUCUCCCUCUGGUCCCCCAC